GAUGAACGCUGGCGGCGUGCCUAAUACAUGCAAGUCGAGCGAACAGACGAGGAGCUUGCUCCUCUGACGUUAGCGGCGGACGUGUGAGUAACACGUGGAUAACCUACCUAUAAGACUGGGAUAACUUCGGGAAACCGGAGCUAAUACCGGAUAAUAUAUUGAACCGCAUGGUUCAAUAGUGAAAGACGGUUUUGCUGUCACUUAUAGAUGGAUCCGCGCCGCAUUAGCUAGUUGGUAAGGUAACGGCUUACCAAGGCAACGAUGCGUAGCCCACCUGAGAGGGUGAUCGGCCACACUGGAACUGAGACAGGGUCCAGACUCCUACGGGAGGCAGCAGUAGGGAAUCUUCCGCAAUGGGCGAAAGCCUGACGGAGCAACGCCGCGUGAGUGAUGAAGGUCUUCGGAUCGUAAAACUCUGUUAUUAGGGAAGAACAAAUGUGUAAGUAACUAUGCGCGUCUUGACGGUACCUAAUCAGAAAGCCACGGCUAACUACGUG
rnacentral:rRNA from 1 species